rnacentral:rRNA from 1 species
GAACGGGUGAGUAACACGUGAAUAACCUACCCCCCAGUUGGGGACAACCUUUUUAACGAGAGGCUAAUACCGAAUAUCGUAAUCAUUCGCAUGUUUGAUUACAAAAGGCUUCGGCCGUUGGGGGAUGGAUUCGCGUCUGAUUAGCUAGUUGGUGAGGUAAUGGCUCACCAAGGCGAUGAUCAGUAGCCGGCCUGAGAGGGUGAUCGGCCACAUUGGGACUGAGAUACGGCCCAGACUCC